UACGUAGGGUGCGAGCGUUAAUCGGAAUUACUGGGCGUAAAGCGUGCGCAGGCGGUGAUGUAAGACCGAUGUGAAAUCCCCGGGCUUAACCUGGGAACUGCAUUGGUGACUGCAUUGCUGGAGUAUGGCAGAGGGGGGUGGAAUUCCACGUGUAGCAGUGAAAUGCGUAGAGAUGUGGAGGAACACCGAUGGCGAAGGCAGCCCCCUGGGUCAACACUGACGCUCAUGCACGAAAGCGUGGGGAGCAAACAGG
rnacentral:rRNA from 1 species